rnacentral:rRNA from 1 species
CAGCCGCCACGGGAAUACGUAGGGUGCAAGCGUUAAUCGGAAUUACUGGGCGUAAAGCGUGCGCAGGCGGUUUGUUAAGACAGAUGUGAAAUCCCCGGGCUCAACCUGGGAACUGCAUUUGUGACUGGCAAGCUAGAGUCUGGCAGAGGGGGGUGGAAUUCCGCGUGUAGCAGUGAAAUGCGUAGAUAUGCGGAGGAACACCGAUGGCGAAGGCAGCCCCCUGGGCCAACACUGACGCUCAUGCACGAAAGCGUGGGGAGCAAACAGGAUUAGAUACCCGUGUAGUCCCUGUCUCUUAUAU